rnacentral:rRNA from 1 species
GGUAUAGUUCUUCGGAACUUGAGACCGGCGCACGGGUGCGUAACGCGUAUGCAAUCUACCUUUUACAGAGGGAUAGCCCAGAGAAAUUUGGAUUAAUACCUCAUAGCAUAGCAGUCUCGCAUGAGAUCACUAUUAAAGUCACAACGGUAAAAGAUGAGCAUGCGUCCCAUUAGCUAGUUGGUAAGGUAACGGCUUACCAAGGCUACGAUGGGUAGGGGUCCUGAGAGGGAGAUCCCCCACACUGGUACUGAGACACGGACCAGACUCCUACGGGAGGCAGCAGUGAGGAAUAUUGGACAAUGGGCGCAAGCCUGAUCCAGCCAUGCCGCGUGCAGGAUGACGGUCCUAUGGAUUGUAAACUGCUUUUAUACGAGAAGAAACACUGCUUCGUGAAGCAGCUUGACGGUAUCGUAAGAAUAAGGAUCGGCUAACUCCGUGCCAGCAGCCGCGGUAAUACGGAGGAUCCAAGCGUUAUCCGGAAUCAUUGGGUUUAAAGGGUCCGUAGGCGGUUUAAUAAGUCAGUGGUGAAAGCCCAUCGCUCAACGGUGGAACGGCCAUUGAUACUGUUAAACUUGAAUUAUUAGGAAGUAACUAGAAUAUGUAGUGUAGCGGUGAAAUGCUUAGAGAUUACAUGGAAUACCAAUUGCGAAGGCAGGUUACUACUAAUGGAUUGACGCUGAUGGACGAAAGCGUGGGUAGCGAACAGGAUUAGAUUACCCUGGUAGUCCACGCCGUAAACGAUGGAUACUAGCUGUUGGAAGCAAUUUCAGUGGCUAAGCGAAAGUGAUAAGUAUCCCACCUGGGGAGUACGUUCGCAAGAAUGAAACUCAAAGGAAUUGACGGGGGCCCGCACAAGCGGUGGAGCAUGUGGUUUAAUUCGAUGAUACGCGAGGAACCUUACCAAGGCUUAAAUGUAGAUUGACCGGUUUGGAAACAGAUCUUUCGCAAGACAAUUUACAAGGUGCUGCAUGGUUGUCGUCAGCUCGUGCCGUGAGGUGUCAGGUUAAGUCCUAUAACGAGCGCAACCCCUGUUGUUAGUUGCCAGCGAGUCAUGUCGGGAACUCUAACAAGACUGCCAGUGCAAACUGUGAGGAAGGUGGGGAUGACGUCAAAUCAUCACGGCCCUUACGCCUUGGGC